rnacentral:rRNA from 1 species
GGAGGGGGCAAGCGUUGUUCGGAUUUACUGGGCGUAAAGGGCUCGUAGGCGGCCAUUUAAGUCGGUUGUGAAAUCCCUCGGCUCAACCGAGGAACUGCGACCGAUACUGGGUGGCUUGAAGCCGGGAGAGGGAUGCGGAAUUCCAGGUGUAGCGGUGAAAUGCGUAGAUAUCUGGAGGAACACCCGUGGCGAAGGCGGCAUCCUGGACCGGUCUUGACGCUGAGGAGCGAAAGCUAGGGUAGCAAACGGGAUUAGAUACCCCGGUAGUCCUAGCCCUAAACGAUGAAUGCUUGGUGUGGCGGGUAUCGAUCCCCUGCCGUGCCCGUAGCUAACGCGUUAAGCAUUCCGCCUGGGGGAGUACGGUCGCAAGGCUG